GAUGAACGCUGGCGGCGUGCCUAAUACAUGCAAGUCGAGCGAAGGGACGAGAAGCUUGCUCCCCUGAUGUUAGCGGCGGACGGGCGAGUAACACGUGGAUAACCUACCUAUAAGACUGGGAUAAUUUCGGGAAACCGGAGCUAAUACCGGAUGAUAUUUUGAACCGCAUGGAUCAAAAGUGAAAGACGGUCUUGCUGUCACUAAUAGCUGGAUCCGCGCUGCAUUAGCUAGUUGGUAAGGUAACGGCUUACCAAGGCAACGAUGCAUAGCCGACCUGAGAGGGUGAUCAGCCACACUGGAACUGAGACACGGUCCAGACUCCUACGGGAGGCAGCAGUAGGGAAUCUUCCGCAAUGGGCGAAAGCCUGACGGAGCAACACCGCGUGAGUGAUGAAGGUCUUCGGAUCGUAAAGCUCUGUUGUUAGGAAAGAACAUAUGUGUAAUUAACUGUGCACAUCUUGACGGUACCUAAUCAAAAAGCCACGGCUAACUACGUG
rnacentral:rRNA from 1 species